UAUUUUGCUCUGUUGAAAAAUUUAAAGUGGAUUCUUCAGGCUCCAGCCUGAUUUCCUUAUUGUUCCUCUCCCUAACUCAUAUACUUGAUUUUAACCUCCUCCAACCUAUUGUCAGCAUCUCCGCCCUUCUUGCAACCCUCGAGAGACUGCUAAGCCCUCCAACUUUUUUUAACCCGUCUCAGAGAAGCUGUGUCUGACCUCUCCUGUAUCCCUGUGCAUUCCUGAGGGCUUGGAAGACCUUGGGCACCUUCAUACGCUCUUGUGGUGGAUGUGGGUGUGGUGACAAGGCUGGACCACCGGAGACAGACAGAGAAUGGUCUUGGCGUAUGGGACCUAAUGCUAGCACAGGCCGUUGAUGCUCACUGCCAUCAGCUGCAUCCUCCCUAUGGCACUGGUAUCUCAUUCAGUUGCUAAACUUAUAUUAGUUAAUUUCCACUGGCAAGUUUCAGAGAUAUUGGACAGAUACAAGUCCAAUUCUGCUCAACUGCUUGUUGAGGCUCGAGUUCAGCCUAAUCCAUCAAAACAUGUUCCCACAUCCCAUCCCCCUCACCACUGUGCAGUGUGUAUGCAGU
rnacentral:sRNA from 1 species